AUACGGAGGGUUCAAGCGUUAUCCGGAAUCAUUGGGUUUAAAGGGUCCGCAGGCGGUCAAUUAAGUCAGAGGUGAAAGCCCAUCGCUCAACGAUGGAACUGCCUUUGAUACUGGUUGACUUGAGUUAUACGGAAGUAGAUAGAAUAAGUAGUGUAGCGGUGAAAUGCAUAGAUAUUACUUAGAAUACCGAUUGCGAAGGCAGUCUACUACGUAUAUACUGACGCUGAGGGACGAAAGCGUGGGGAGCGAACAGGAUUAGAAACCCUAGUAGUCC
rnacentral:rRNA from 1 species